CCAUCUUUCUCCCUCUCCUCUAUUUCCAUAUACGAAUUUAAGUUCCAGAACUUAAAUUCGUAUAUGGAAAUAGAGGAGAGGGAGAAAGUUGG
rnacentral:miRNA from 1 species